GAAAGAUUGCCCCCCAAAAAUUCAAAAAUAAGGAAAGUCAGUAGAGCCCCUGACACGCGUUUCACCAGUGGUAGCGCAUGAGAGAGGAGGUUGGAGUUCUUCCAACUGUCGAACUACAACUCACACAGUUCUCAGGGAUAGGUAGUCGUCCUCCAUCUAAAGUGUCAGGUGGAAACCCAGCGAGAGGAGGUAGAGGUAGUCUGCUUCCCACCCCAGUGGCAGAGUGCAACCCAGAUAGAAGAGUCAGUCAGCCUCCUUCACCAGCGGAAGAUGGCAAGCAAGGGAGAGGAGGUUGUUGGCCUCCUUCCCUAGCAGCAGAUGGAAACCCAG